UACGUGGGGGCCGAGCGUUGUCCGGAGUUACUGGGCGUAAAGGGCGCGCAGGCGGCGGCGUGGGUCCGGCGUGAAAGCCCCCGGCUCAACCGGGGAAGGUCGUCGGGGACCGCGCCGCUUGAGGGCGGCAGGGGCCGGUGGAAUGCCUGGUGUAGUGGUGAAAUGCGUAGAGAUCAGGCGGAACACCCGUGGCGAAGGCGGCCGGCUGGGCCGACCCUGACGCUGAGGCGCGAAGGCGUGGGGAG
rnacentral:rRNA from 1 species